GCUGCUUGGAGGGAAUGUUGUUUAUUUUUUCAAGGAAUGGCUUCUUGGAGGGACAGUUGUUUCUCUUAGGUCAGUUUACUCACUUCUGGAACUGACAAAUCAAUUGUUUCCACAAGCUAAACAUUAGUGGAUGGAAACAAUGCAGCUUACAUUUACUUGCACCCUGAAAAUAAACAGCCCAGCAGGAUGUGGGAGACAACAUCUAGCACCACCAUCAGAGCUGAUUAAACCUUGCUGGGCUGGAGGUGGCACGUACUGAUAGAGGUUUCUUCCUAAAC